ACCCCAGCAAAGACACGUGUUGAUCAUGUCAACCGGAGUGCUACAGAAGCCAACAAGAAAUUACAGCUGCAGUUAAUUUUUGAUGCCUUUGGCCAUGCACACAGAACCUGCAACCAUUUACAACAAGAGUAGGGAGCAGUUGGUGCACUUCUAGAAGUACAUGGAAAUGCUACAGGUUAUGAACUUUUGCCCAAGCUUAUACCACAUGGCAAUGUGAACAAGUCUGCACAUUCUUUUUUGCAUUAAAUUCACCAUGGCAUGUCAAGUUACAAUCAUUUACAUGAGUGGCCUUACAAGUGCUGCAAUCAACUUCUGCAGUGUUCGGAAAGUUCAUGCCUCGCAUGCUUUAGGUGCAGUUGUAAAACCAACCGCAAGUGCACUAUAGGGAAAGCAUUGAUGUGAGAAACUGGACUGGAAAUGCAGUGUGCAAUAGGCCUCUGCAGGACUUCCAAGUGCAAUGUCCUGCAGUCCAACUGUGUACCAUGCUUUGCUGUUCGAGUUUAAACUCUGUUUACUUACUGUGUUCAAACAAGGCUAAGAAAAAGAACCUAUGCUGCUCCAGGUAUUCCAGCAGAACAAUGAUGUUUUCUAACUCCCCAUGAUUUAAGCAUCCCUCCAUUCUAAUGCAGAAACAAACACGUAAUGCUCUUAGUCUUUAUUUUUUUUUAUGUUGACCACACAACGAAAGAAAUCAACAAUACAGUCAUGAAGGAGCAAGUCUAAAAUGUUUCUAAAGCGUAUGUACAAUAAAAAUAAUGUAAACGUAUUCACUUCCAUGUCCAGUCCAACAUACCGCUCGUUUGCUUCCAGUGCAACAUAUCCUUUACGGCAUCUUGCAUCAAAACCUACCAUGAAACUGAAUUUGCACUUUUUCUCUUUCUCUGCUGUCGUUUAAACCUUAAUUUGGAAGCCUACAGUAUACAUCUUUUGGAAAUAGGUAGAAUGAAAGCUGCUUUCCAAAUGUGCUAAGUAAACUGUCUGCAAGUAUUUGAAUUCUUUCCGGAAAACAAGUGAGACAGACAAGCAAGCACGACAUAAUUUCACUUUAAAAUUCUUUGUUACAAUGAGGGCUUUUAGUAGCAUGCCAAGAAACAUUUGGGCAUGGUGGCUGAUGUCUUGAGCCUUUAACACUGUGUGUACAUGACCUGUGCCACCAUGCAGACGUGUCACAGCUUGCAACAGGUAGAGCAAAAGACAUGACAAUGUUCGCACCUUUAAUGGCCUAAUAUUGAAGCAAGCAGCCACACUAGUGGGGUGCUGCAGUUUGUAGAGAACAGGAAAUAAAUUAUGAUAAUUACCUCCA
rnacentral:lncRNA from 1 species